CACUGACCUAGUUAGGGGAUUGAUAAACUACCCAGAAUGAGAUGUGGCAUAGUUGAGUUGGGAAAAUGUAAUCUAUAUAUCUCAAAAAAGAAAAAGAAUGAGAUUAAAUUCCUAUACUUGAAGUUGAACUUCCACACUAGUACGUCUGGUGAACCAGGGGCCAGACUGUGGGUGCCUCAAGAAACGUUUGGCCAAUUUCUCAAAAGUGAUUUGUUCAAGAACCAG